CCUACGGGAGGCAGCAGUGGGGAAUAUUGCACAAUUGGCGCAAGCCUGAUGCAGCGACGCCGCGUGCGGGAUGGAGGCCUUCUGGUUGUACACCGCUUUUUUUCAAGGGCUAGGCCCGGUCUUUUGCCGUGUUGUGUGGAUUGUUCGAAUAUGCACCGGCUAACGACGUGCCAGCAGCCGCGGUAAUACGUAGGGUGCAAGCGUUAUACGGAUUUAUUGGGCGUAAAGGGUUCGUAGGCGGUUCGUCGCGUCCGGUGUGAAAGUCCAUCGCUUAACGGUGGAUCCGCGCCGGGUACGGGCGGGCUUGAGUGCGGUAGGGGAGACUGGAAUUCCCGGUGUAACGGUGGAAUGUGUAGAGAUCGGGAAGAACACCAAUGGCGAAGGCAGGUCUCUGGGCCGUUACUGACGCUGAGGAGCGAAAGCGUGGGGAGCGAACAGGAUUAGAUACCCGUGUAGUC
rnacentral:rRNA from 1 species